rnacentral:rRNA from 1 species
GAGACAAGGUUCCAGACCCUACGGGGUGCAGCAGGCGCGAAACCUCCGCAAUGUACGAAAGUGCGACGGGGGGAUCCCAAGUGUUAUGCUUUUUUGUAUGACUUUUCAUUAGUGUAAAAAGCUUUUAGAAUAAGAGCUGGGCAAGACCGGUGCCAGCCGCCGCGGUAACACCGGCAGCUCGAGUGGUAGCUGUUUUUAUUGGGCCUAAAGCGUUCGUAGCCGGUUUGAUAAGUCUUUGGUGAAAGCUUGUAGCUUAACUAUAAGAAUUGCUGGAGAUACUAUUAGACUUGAAGUCGGGAGAGGUUAGAGGUACUACCGGGGUAGGGGUGAAAUCCUAUAAUCCUGGGAGGACCACCUGUGGCGAAGGCGUCUAACUGGAACGAUCUUGACGGUGAGUAACGAAAGCCAGGGGCGCGAACCGGAUUAGAUACCCGGGUAGUCCUGGCCGUAAACGAUGUGGACUUGGUGUUGGAAUGGCUUUGAGUUGUUCCGGUGCCGAAGGGAAGCUGUUAAGUCCACCGCCUGGGAAGUACGGUCGCAAGACUGAAACUUAA